GUAGGUGUUUUUAUGACACUAUGUCAACAUAGGUCAGCUGAUAGGCAUUGUGUAUAGGUAAUCGGUAGUCACCCUGGCGCCUCAACAAAAUCUUAUAGAAUACUCUGUAACCAAAGUAAUGCCACAAAGUAAAAAUGUAUAUUCUAGUCAUGAAAAUGUAAAUACAAGUUGGUGUAAUAAAAUGUAUGUUUAAUUAGAAUGAUUGUUUUUUUAUAAGUGGUAAAGGUUAUAAAUGAAAAAUAGAGGAUGGAAGCUCUACACAAAUGAGUAUAAAAUACAGAAACUCUGUAGUAUUUUAAUCUUGGUAUUUGUGAAUUACAAUAAACAACAGAUAAGGAAAGACAACUCUAUAACAAUUUUUAAUCACUUUGUGAUUAAAGGAAGGACUUCAACAUAGUUAAGAAAAUACAACAACUCUUGAUCGUUGUUCUUCAUCUCAUUGUUAUUCGUUCAGUAUUAUUUUAGGGUCUUCUUCUAUAAGUAUUGCAAUUAAUAGAGAUUAUCAAAAUUUUAAUUUUCAAUAAUCUGGUUUAAUUCAAUCAAACAUUUGUGUGGGUGUGUGGGUGUUGCAGCCUUUAGCUCAUUGCCAUGUAUGGCAUGGCCAUAUAUGGCGCUCUCACGUGGAAUUUGAAUUUUGGAAUUCCCGUAUCGGGCACUUGUUAAUUUGCUGUCGACAACAAAGCAGGUGCUGCAGAAAAUAGUUCAAUUAUUUAAAACCCGCCCACCCUCCCAAAUGAGAAUAGUUGCUGCUGUUUUUUUUUAUAUUUUCAGGCACUAGUUUGCUGUAUUUGGUUGCAAUAUUAUGGUCAACGGAAUCCAAGCAGUUCCUCCAUGGUAUUGGACCAAUACAGGAUAGUUUGGAGUAAAUUUAUGUUUCUUUGAUUUAGACAUUUCCUUUAUUAAGCACUUUAUUUACAUAUGGACUAUUGUGAUUUAAGCAACCAGAAAGAAUUAAAUUUUAUAUUAAUUAACAAUUUUAUUAAUUAGGAAGAAAACAAGACAUUUUAAAGAAAUUUAUUUUCUCAUACCAUCCUUAGGCGCAGAGUCAAUUUUGAAAGGGAGAGAUAUAGGGAAACUGGUAGUGAUUGGGGGAUUAUUUCACUCGGCCCUUGCUCUGGGCCUGACAAGUUCUACAAUUUGCAGGUUUGGAAAAUGUGGAACGCCAUUUUCAUGUUCACUAUCCAAAAGCAGUAAUAGUAGGAGACAAUGGGAAAAUAAUUGUAGGAAAAAACAAAAGAAAGAAAAGUAACGGAAGCCUAUCUUCAGAAAUUAAACAGCAACACUUGAAUACAACUGAUGUAUCGUCGUCAUCAUCAUCUUACCAAUCAGAAAAUGAAUACAAUGAAAAAUCAUAUAAAAGGGUAGCAAGGCCCAUGGAUAUUGAAUCGUCUACCUCCGAUUCAGAAAAGAUUUCCGACGACUCAGAGGAGGAAAGAUCUAGGUCUAAUGCUAUGGUAAAGUCGAAACAAUGUAAAACUGAAGCAGAAAUUAAGAAAGUUAUUUUCGAAUAUAAAGAAGAUUUGAUGAAACGAGCGGAAGCCAAGACAAAAUCAUUAGAAAAACAUUUGCUUGGUAAAUUGAACAAAGCGGGUAUCUCUGAUCAGAGCAAAUUGAAAAAGUUACAACGUUUAGAUACUUUAACCAAAAAUGAAAAGAGCUCAAAUAUGUACAUAGUCACAUGAUCUAUAAAGUCUUAAUUUUUACAGUUUAAUACGGCUGCAAAUGAUCGUUCAGAAAUUAGAAUACCAAUAUUUUGACCUAAGAACUGCUGUGAAUAAAAAUAUGAGCGAACAUAAAUAAAAUAUUUUCAACAAAUGAAAAAUAAGCGUAAACUGAAAUGUUAAUUUGUUCACAUUUUGUGUUGGUUGUAUACAUGUUGGCUUAUACUUGGUAUUAACCAUCCUUACCAUUGCAGCCCCUGUUUCAUGACAUUUCCUUAUGAUACAUAAUUCUUAAGUAAAUUCAUUUUAACAUCUGCAUUUUUGGUAUGAUUAUAUAAUUAUUUUCUUCUUUCACCUUCACAUUUCAUAAACUUCCUAUUUUCAUAUUAACAUAUACUCUUUGCAGUCGUAUUUUAUACACGUGCGUUGCCGUCGUUUGCAUCGUGUCAACUUUUUUGUUUGUCUAUCUGUAAAUACAGUUUGAUAUGUUUCCCUUGGUAUUUCAUAGGAAAAUUGUUCCUGGAUGUUAUAUAUUUAGCAUUGCUAAAGCUUGUACGCAAAUGUCAAACGGGAGUUAUUUCUCAAAACAUGAUAUUGGUACUCGUUUUCAAUAAUAA